UUAUCCCCGCCGCCAGCGCUGACCGCUUGCUUUUCACUUGGUUUAGUUUUGCUCCCUCCCUUCCGCGGGCUCCGGCUCCUGGAGGUGCGUGACCUCCAAACCCGGGCUCCCAUAGAAUCCGGGCUGCUGGGGGAGGCGGGGGAAUUACCCCAAUAAAUACCAAACACGCCCUCGCCUGCCAAAAUAGAGACGGGAACCUCACAUCAUUCCUUUCUAACGACCGUGCUUUACAGACUUUUCCAGUCAAGUGGCUUGCUCCUCAGAACUGCCUGAAGUAACACCCAGCAUAUUCCAGUCCUUUGGGAGGCUCCAGGAGAAGCAAAGCACUUCCUCACCAUUUUAAUGAAAACCUAAGGCCUUCUGCAUGCCUUUUUAUGGACUUCUGAGAGAAGAAGAAAGAGUUUUGGGUUA